CUUGUCGUUGGGAAAGUCCGGUGGGAUUCCGGUACUGUGCCGCAACUGUAAUCAAGAGAAAAGCCGGUUAUUAGAAACCCGGUUUCUUGAAGAAACCGGGUUUCUUGGAAUGCUACUUAGGCAGGCAUUCUAUUUUUUCCGCAAGUGAAGUCAGAACGCCAACGACAAG
rnacentral:ncRNA from 1 species